rnacentral:rRNA from 1 species
UAAGUUUGGGAUAACCUGUCGAAAGAUGAGCUAAUACUGAAUAAGACCACAGUUUCCUCGGAAGCAGGGGUCAAAGGUAGCCUCUAUUUAUAAGCUAUCACUUAGAGAUGGGCCUGCGUACCAUUAGCUAGUUGGUGAGGUAACGGCUCACCAAGGCAAAGAUGGUUAGCUGGUCUGAGAGGACGAUCAGUCACACUGGAACUGAGACACGGUCCAG